CUGGGCACCAGCAUGUCUGGAGCAGGAAACAUGACUCAUCGCGGGUCCCGUGUGGCUUCAGGUACCCGAGUUGCGGAACUGGGGACUUUGUGACCGCAGAUACUGGUCAACAGGAACUGUGAGUGAAGUCAGUGAGCAGAUGAUUCGUGCGAAUUUGCAGCGAACACGCAUGCGCUUCUCAUGAGUCCCAAGGAAGGAGCUCAGCAGAGAAGUCACUCGGAGCGCCUGACCCGUCUCGGCUGAGCCCAAACUUCCUACGUCAGUCUGUGGCCAGUAGCUUCUUGCUUGAACCUUCUGCUCGCUGCUGUGGACGCCAGUACGAUCCUCAUGAAGCCGCUGAUCCUGUGGGCUCUUGCCCUGCUGCACACAGGUUCGGGCCUCCUUGUGCCCGGAGGCGACGUGGCGUCGCACCCACAGCUCAUGCACUGCUCAUUCCAAGCGCAGCUAGAGGGCCUGCGCCGCAUCUGGUGCAAGAAGAGCAGCGAGCUGUGCUGCUCAGGCGUGGCCUUUAGCAGCGACACGCAGCAGCUGGAAGAGGGCGCCGUGAGCGUGCAGCAGGACCGCAGCACCUUCAACCUCACCAUCUGGCGCCUGGACCAAGGAGAAGGCACCUACUGGUGCGGCCUGCUGAACCUCAACAACACGGUCAUCAAGCUGGCCGAGAGCUACCUACGCUCGCCAGUACCCCCACAAGACCCAGGCAACCUGUGGAGCCUCCUUCGCUGGGUCCUGAUGCCACUGCUCCCCCUGGUGGCCGCCACCAUCCACUUGUGCUCCAGUCGCUGCGGUGCGUGUGCAGGUGCUCUCCUCUUCAUUCCUCUGAAAUACUGUCGUUCUCAUCUUGGAAGUCCUCCUCUGAAAUCUUUUAAUGCCUCUUCUGUCUUGCACAUCACAUUUUAGUGUCUCUAUUUUAAAAAAUGUACCCUUUUAUUUCCCUUAAAUCUCCAGGAAAACCCCAUGUGAACCAGGCAAGUUUAUACUUUUGUGUUUUAUUAAACUGUUACUUUGUAAAUACUGUUACCCCUUGAUUGUCAGGAACAUAAGAAAUGACUGUAUUUUAUUGACUGAAUGCAUUUAUUUUAUUUAGUCAUGAUGCCCUCAUAAAGAGCUUGUCCUUGCACAACAUCCCAAAUAUGCAUAUACUAAAUGAAACAAGUAAAGCACUAUAACACUUUUUAUUGCACAUCACAUUUCAUUAGCAGAAGGCUUAUUGGAAGAUAUCUAUAUAGAUAUAAAGAGAAAUUACAUUUGAAACAAAAGCAUGUGGCAGCAAGUUACCUAGCGGUUGGAGCCUUUGCCUUGUAACUGGAAGGUCCUCUUCCUGCGGUCGUGGCCUGAACUGAUAGCGUCAGAAUUACCCCGCUGUAACUGGGUAAAUCAGUGUGAGGAGCAAAGAGUGCAAACCGAGAAAUGGAGAAAAUAAGAGUGCGAAGAAAGAGCAAAAAUAAUGAAUAAUUAGACACAGUGACUCAAUGAUAUGAGGAUGUUUUGCAGAGAGGCGAGGAAAGCGUGUACGAGGUGGCUCAGUGUGGACAGCAGUGACACACUUGGACCGCUCUGCACACUGGAACAUAAACGACCUUCUUUUGUGAAAUAUCUUCUGGAAAACUGAACCCAGAUGGCAAAAGUCUUUGUUCGUGUAGAGUUUUACAACCAGCGAUAAGUAAAAUAUUAAAAAUGAGUGUCAUCAUUUUGUUUGUCCCCUCUAUUCCUCCUUUUCCCACAACACAGCAGUGUAAAGUACCUGCUCAGUGGUUUUACACUUUUACACAUAUUUUACAUAAGACCUUCUCCCUUUGAUUUGAUUAAGAUCCAUUUAAUAAAGGAGACAUUGGGGUGUUUUCA
rnacentral:lncRNA from 1 species